CCUACGGGGGGCAGCAGUGGGGAAUAUUGGACAAUGGGGGGAACCCUGAUCCAGCCAUGCCGUGUGUGUGAAGAAGGCCCUCGGGUUGUAAAGCACUUUCAGUGAGGAAGAACGCCUGGUGGUUAAUACCCAUCAGGAAAGACAUCACUCACAGAAGAAGCACCGGCUAACUCCGUGCCAGCAGCCGCGGUAAUACGGAGGGUGCGAGCGUUAAUCGGAAUUACUGGGCGUAAAGCGCGCGUAGGUGGCUUGAUAAGCCGGUUGUGAAAGCCCCGGGCUCAACCUGGGAACGGCAUCCGGAACUGUCAAGCUAGAGUGCAGGAGAGGAAGGUAGAAUUCCCGGUGUAGCGGUGAAAUGCGUAGAGAUCGGGAGGAAUACCAGUGGCGAAGGCGGCCUUCUGGACUGACACUGACACUGAGGUGCGAAAGCGUGGGUAGCAAACAGGAUUAGAUACCCCAGUAGUC
rnacentral:rRNA from 1 species